GAUGAACGCUGGCGGCGUGCCUAAUACAUGCAAGUCGAGCGAAUGGAUUAAGAGCUUGCUCUUAUGAAGUUAGCGGCGGACGGGUGAGUAACACGUGGGUAACCUGCCCAUAAGACUGGGAUAACUCCGGGAAACCGGGGCUAAUCCCGGAUAACAUUUUGAACCGCAUGGUUCGAAAUUGAAAUGCGGCUUCGGCUGUCACUUAGGGAUGGACCUGCGUCGCAUUAGCGAGUUGGUGAGGUAACGGCCCACCAAGGCAACGAGGCGGUGGCGACCUGAGAGGGUGAUCGGCCACACUGGGACUGAGACACGGCCCAGACUCCUACGGGAGGCAGCAGUAGGGAAUCUUCCGCAAUGGACGAAAGUCUGACGGAGCAACGCCGCGUGAGUGAUGAAGGCUUUCGGGUCGUAAAACUCUGUUGUUAGGGAAGAACAAGUGCUAGUUGAAUAAGCUGACACCUUGACGGUACCUAACCAGAAAGCCACGGCUAACUACGUGCCAGCCGCCGCGGUAA
rnacentral:rRNA from 1 species